rnacentral:rRNA from 1 species
AUUGAACGCUGGCGGCAGGCUUAAUACAUGCAAGUCGAACGAGUGGCGGACGGGCGAGUAAUGCUUGGGCAUCUAGCUUAUGGAGGGGGAUAACUACGGGAAACCGUAGCUAAUACCGCUUACCAUAGGAUGAGCCCAAGUGGGAUGAGGUAGUUGGUGAGGUAAAGGCUCACCAAGCCGACGAUCCAUAGCUGGUCUGAGAGGGUGACCGGCCACACUGGGACUGAGACACGGCCCAGACUCCUACGGGAGGCAGCAGUAGGGAAUAUUGCGCAAUGGGGGAAACCUGACGGAGCAAUGCCGCGUGAGUGAAGAAGGCCUUCGGGUUGUAAAGUUCUUUCGGUAGGGAGGCGUUAACUACAGAAGAAGCACCGGCUAACUACGUGCCAGCAGCCGCGGUAAUAC